CCUACGGGAUGCAGCAGUGGGGGAUAUUGCACAAUGGGGGAAACCCUGAUGCAGCGACGCCGCGUGGGUGAAGAAGCGCCUCGGCGCGUAAAGCCCUGUCAGCAGGGAAGAAAAUGACGGUACCUGAAGAAGAAGCCCCGGCUAACUACGUGCCAGCAGCCGCGGUAAUACGUAGGGGGCAAGCGGUAGCCGGAUUGACUGGGUGUAAAGGGGGCGCAGACGGCGAUGCAAGCCAGGAGUGAACGCCCGGGGCCCAACCCCGGGACUGCUCUUGGAAAUGCGUGGCUAGAGUGCAGGAGGGGCAGGCGGAAUGCCUGGUGUAGCGGUGAAAUGCGUAGAUAUCAGGAGGAACACCGGUGGCGAAGGCGGCCUGCUGGACUGCAACUGACGUUGAGGCCCGAAAGCGUGGGGAGCAAACAGGAUUAGAUACCCGGGUAGUC
rnacentral:rRNA from 1 species